UCUUUUGUUUUAGCUUGUGAAUUUUCCCUGUGCUAAGAGGGAGGUUUAUCCCUGUUUUUUGUAACUUUAAAGUUUUGCCUCGAGGGGAAUCCUCCGUGUUUUGAAUCUUAUUACUCUGUAAAAUUACCUUCCAUCCUGAUUUUACAGAGGUGAUUCUUUUACCUUUUCUUUAAUUAAAAUUCUUCUUUUAA